AGGCCCUCGGCCUCAUAAUCAUGAAUCAGCACACUCAAUGGGCUAGGGUGGCCUCAUUUCGCCUUACCAACCCCAGGGAAACUCCGAAUACAGGCCUAGAUCAUUUGUACAGGCAGACUUUUUGGGUGCUAAGAUCCAAAGUCGAGAGGGAAACAACCUAGAUCGUACGCUAAGGUCCCUAAGCAAUCACUUAGUGGAAAAGGAAGUGAUCGAGCGAUGACAACUAGGAGGUGGGCUUGGAAGCAGCCAUCCUUUGAAGAAAGCGUAAUAGCUCACUGGUCUAGCUCCAUGGCACCGAAAAUGUAUCAGGGUUCAAGUGAUUCACCGAAGCGACGAGACCUUGAAAGCUGCUUUUUCAAGUUAUUA
rfam:Nicotiana attenuata strain TT chromosome 1, whole genome shotgun sequence.